GGAUAACCUACCCUUAGGACUGGGAUAACCCUGGGAAACUGGGGAUAAUACUGGAUAGGCAAUUAUUCCUGUAAUGGUUUUUUGUUUAAAUGUUUUUUCGCCUAAGGAUGGGUCUGCGGCCGAUUAGGUAGUUGGUUAGGUAAUGGCUUACCAAGCCUUUGAUCGGUACGGGUUGUGAGAGCAAGAGCCCGGAGAUGGAACCUGAGACAAGGUUCCAGGCCCUACGGGGUGCAGCAGGCGCGAAACCUCCGCAAUGUGAGAAAUCGCGACGGGGGGAUCCCAAGUGCCAUUCUUAACGGGAUGGCUUUUCAUUAGUGUAAAGAGCUUUUGGAAUAAGAGCUGGGCAAGACCGGUGCCAGCCGCCGCGGUAACACCGGCAGCUCUAGUGGUAGCAGUUUUUAUUGGGCCUAAAGCGUCCGUAGCCGGUUUAAUAAGUCUCUGGUGAAAUCCUGCAGCUUAACUGUGGGAAUUGCUGGAGAUACUAUUAGACUUGAGAUCGGGAGAGGUUAGAGGUACUCCCAGGGUAGAGGUGAAAUUCUGUAAUCCUGGGAGGACCGCCUGUUGCGAAGGCGUCUGACUGGAACGAUUCUGACGGUGAGGGACGAAAGCUAGGGGCGCGAACCGGAUUAGAUACCCGGGUAGUCCUAGCUGUAAACGAUGCGGACUUGGUGUUGGGGUGGCUUUGAGCUGUCCCAGUGCCGAGGGGAAGCUGUUAAGUCCGCCGCCUGGGAAGUACGGUCGCAAGACUGAAACUUAA
rnacentral:rRNA from 1 species